UUACCGCCGUUGCCUCGGCGGGCCGCGCUUCGCCCUGUACUUUACUACCUGGCGGCGCGCUACAGGCCCGCCGGUGGACUGCUAAACUCUGUUAUAUAUACGUAUCUCUGAAUGCUUCAACUUAAUAAGUUAAAACUUUCAACAACGGAUCUCUUGGUUUUGGCAUCGAUGAAGAACGCAGCGAAAUGCGAUAAGUAAUGUGAAUUGCAUAAUUCAGGGAAUCAUCGAAUCUUUGAACGCACAUUGCGCCCAUUAGUAUUCUAGUGGGCAUGCCUGUUCCAGCGUCAUUUCAACCCUUAAGCCCCUGUUGCUUAACGUUGGGAAUCUAGGUCUCCAGGGCCUAGUUCCCCAAAGUCAUCGGCGGAGUCGGAGCGUACUCUCAGCGUAUUAAUACCAUUCUCGCUUUUGCAGUACCCCGGGGGCUUGUUUUUGGAGCCGUAUAUCUUCCAGUGCCCCGACCUCGAAUCAGGUAGGAAUACCCGCUGAACUUAAGCAUAUCAAUAAGCGGAAGAAA
rnacentral:rRNA from 1 species